GACCUUGCUUCACAUUUUAUUUUAAAAAUAAUCGGUAUACAGAGAAGAUUAGCAUGGCCCCUGCGCAAGGAUGAUACGCAAAUUCGUGAAGCGUUCCAUAAAAAA
rnacentral:snRNA from 1 species